GGAGAGAUGACCGAGCGGCUGAAGGUGCACGAUUGGAAAUCGUGUGUAGGGUUUAUAGCUCUACCGAGGGUUCGAAUCCCUCUCUCUCCG
rnacentral:tRNA from 1 species